GCCGAGGCCGAAAGGCGUAGGCGAUGGAAAACAGGUUUAAUAUUCCUGUACCAGUGCAACAUUGUUUGAACUAAGGGGGGACGCAGAAGUGAAAGGUCAGCCCGGUUUUGAUAGUCCGGGUUUAAGUGCGUAGGGAGUCCUGGUAGGCAAAUCCGCCGGGACAUUAAUCCUGAGACACGAAUAGGAGAGCCUAGCUCAUAAACUGACCCUAAUCAUACUGCCAAGAAAAUCCUCUAUGUUAGAUGCUGCGCUGACCGUACCGUAAACGGACACACGUGGGCGAGGAGAGUAUCCUCAGGCGCUUGUGAGAAUCCAGGUUAAGGAACUCGGCAAAUUAGCCCCGUAACUUCGGGAGAAGGGGUGCCCUUAUUAGGUGAUAGACUUCGCGUCUGGAGCCGAAAGGGGCCGCAGUGACCAGGCUCAAUCGACUGUUUACUAAAAACACAGGUCUCUGCUAAGUCGCAAGACGACAUAUAGGGACUGACACCUGCCCGGUGCUGGAAGGUUAAAUGGAAGGGUUAGCUUCGGCAAAGCUCUGAAAUGAAGCCCCAGUAAACGGCGGCCGUAACUAUAACGGUCCUAAGGUAGCGAAAUUCCUUGUCGGGUAAGUUCCGACCUGCACGAAUGGUGUAACGAAUUGAGCACUGUCUCGACCUGGAGCACAGCGAAAUUGAAGUGUCGGUGAAGAUACCGGCUACCCGCGGCAGGACGAAAAGACCCCGUGAACCUUUACUACAACUUAGCAUUGGAUUCUGGUUCUGCAUGUGCAGGAUAGGUGGGAGGCUUUGAAGCUCGGACGCUAGUCCGGGUGGAGCCAACCUUGAAAUACCACCCUUGUAUUGCUAGAACUCUAAUCCCGACCCGUGAAUCCGGGCGAGAGACAGUGUUAGGUGGGUAGUUUGACUGGGGCGGUCUCCUCCCAAAAGGUAACGGAGGAGCUCAAAGGUUCCCUCAGCACGGUCGGUAAUCGUGCGUAGAGUGCAAAGGCAUAAGGGAGCUUAACUGCGAGGUCGACGGACCGAGCAGAUGCGAAAGCAGGACUUAGUGAUCUGGUGGUUCCGUAUGGAAGGGCCAUCACUCAACGGAUAAAAGGUACUCCGGGGAUAACAGGCUUAUCUCCCCCAAGAGUUCACAUCGACGGGGAGGUUUGGCACCUCGAUGUCGGCUCAUCACAUCCUGGAGCUGGAGAAGGUUCCAAGGGUUGGGCUGUUCGCCCAUUAAAGUGGUACGUGAGCUGGGUUUAGAACGUCGUGAGACAGUUCGGUCUCUAUCCGCCGUGGGCGCAAGAUAUUUGAGGGAAUCUGCUUCUAGUACGAGAGGACCGAAGUGGACGAACCUCUGGUGUACCAGUUGUUCCAUCAGGAGCACGGCUGGGUAGCUAUGUUCGGUCCGGAUAAGCGCUGAAAGCAUAUAAGCGCGAAACCGAUCCCAAGAUUAGAUAUCUCUAACAUAAGUUAAUAAGGCUCGUUGUAGACUACGACGUUGAUAGGCUGCAGGUGUAAGUGUAGUAAUACAUUCAGCCGAGCAGUACUAAUAAGCCGAACGGCUUUACCAAAU
rnacentral:rRNA from 1 species